CCUACGGGAGGCAGCAGUGAGGAAUAUUGGUCAAUGGGCGGAAGCCUGAACCAGCCAAGUAGCGUGCAGGAUGACGGCCCUACGGGUUGUAAACUGCUUUUAUACGGGAAUAACGCGCCUUACGUGUAGAGCUUUGCAUGUACCGUAUGAAUAAGGACCGGCUAAUUCCGUGCCAGCAGCCGCGGUAAUACGGAAGGUCCGGGCGUUAUCCGGAUUUAUUGGGUUUAAAGGGAGCGUAGGCCGCAUGUCAAGCGUGCUGUGAAAUGUCCGGGCUCAACCCGGGCCUUGCAGCGCGAACUGGCGUGCUUGAGUGCGCGGAAAGCAGGCGGAAUUCGUGGUGUAGCGGUGAAAUGCUUAGAUAUGACGAAGAACCCCGAUUGCGAAGGCAGCUUGCUGCAGCGGAACUGACGCUGAUGCUCGAAAGCGCGGGUAUCGAACAGGAUUAGAUACCCCAGUAGUC
rnacentral:rRNA from 1 species